rnacentral:rRNA from 1 species
AUGGAGCCUCCGGCCAGCCUCCUCGUCGCCGACGCGUUCCUGUACUGGACGAACGCGUCGGCGGCCACGCUCGGCGUCCCGAAGCCGAAGGUGUCGUUCUUAGGCAUCUCGGCGUUCACACAGGUACUGCGGGAGGUGCGCAUCAGCCACGACCCGUUCCCGGCGCUGCAGCACGCCGACGUCGACGGCGACGGCAAUCCGGCGACGUUCACGGUGCCUGAGUUCCCGCACAUCAAGCUCACGUUGGAGGACAUGAUGGCGCCCUUGGGCGAUCCGUCGUCGGUUGCGCCCAUGAUGGAGCUGCACGGCAAGCUGGCGAAGGCCAUAGAGGAGGGCCAUGGCCUGAUCGUCAACACCUUCCAAGGCCUAGAGAAACCGUACCAAGGACAGAGGCUUAGUGGUGAGGGAGUGGGUGGAUCAAUUGGGGAUUUUGCGUGA